rnacentral:rRNA from 1 species
AGCGAACGUUAGCGGCGGGCCUAACACAUGCAAGUCGAGCGAGAAAGUGGCUUCGGCCAUCAGUAAAGCGGCGGACGGGUGAGUAACACGUAGGUAAUCUUCCCUUGAGCGGGGACAACGUUUCGAAAGGAACGCUAAUACCGCAUACGUUCCCGGGAGCUCUUGGCCCCUGGGAGGAAAGCUAGGUCGCAAGAUCCGGCACUCGAGGAGGAGCCUGCGUCGCAUCAGCUAGUUGGUGGGGAACGGCCUACCAAGGCGAAGACGCGUAGCUGGUCUGAGAGGAUGAUC